rnacentral:rRNA from 1 species
AUUGAACGCUGGCGGCAUGCCUUACACAUGCAAGUCGAACGGCAGCACGGGAGCAAUCCUGAUGGCGAGUGGCGAACGGGUGAGUAAUAUAUCGGAACGUGCCCAGUCGUGGGGGAUAACGUAGCGAAAGCUACGCUAAUACCGCAUACGAUCUAUGGAUGAAAGCGGGGGAUCGCAAGACCUCGCGCGAUUGGAGCGGCCGAUAUCAGAUUAGGUAGUUGGUGGGGUAAAGGCUCACCAAGCCGACGAUCUGUAGCUGGUCUGAGAGGACGACCAGCCACACUGGGACUGAGACACGGCCCAGACUCCUACGGGAGGCAGCAGUGGGGAAUUUUGGACAAUGGGCGCAAGCCUGAUCCAGCAAUGCCGCGUGCAGGAUGAAGGCCUUCGGGUUGUAAACUGCUUUUGUACGGAGCGAAAAGGCUUCCACUAAUACUGGGGGCUCAUGACGGUACCGUAAGAAUAAGCACCGGCUAACUCUGUGCCAGCCGCCGCGGUAACAC